GCUGCGUUUAGCCCCUCCUCCUCGGAUUUCGAUGUCGUUUACACCUUGGUGACGUGGGUCCAACUCAUCCUGACUGCGGACGGCCAAGGCACGGCCCGACCGAGGGAAGGGAUGUGUGUGCUCAUACAGCUUAGGAGUUGCCAGUGUGGUGUCUGAACUCCAGUCCAAAGUACUCCUUCUCCAGCAGCUUCAGGCGAGAUGAACCUGGUGCUCGUUGUUUUCAGCGCGAGCUCUUUGGGGAACGAGCUGCCUUCUCCUCUGUCACGUUAAAAUGAGAUUUUUCCAAAGGCGACGUCACCAUGUUGGAAACGCAGCCCGUGUCACUCUGCUGUUCCUGACCUGGAUAGUAGAGCACAUGACAGUUCAUCGACAGCAGAGUGUUUACGUUUUGACAUCCAGCUGUUUACACAUCACACAGCUGUUUGACAGCUGCCCAGAGGUUUGAGCAGCUGGAUGUGUGAUGAGCACCAAACCAUGGAUGGAUGGUCAUUUCAGCACUGACAGAGUCAUACAGGAAGUACAGAAACAACGAGAGAGAAAACAUGUCUAAAAACAGGACAAAUGAAAACCGCUGGAUCUAUCUGAUGAAUCCUAAAUGUUUUAAAUGCAGCAGCAGAUGAUGGAGGGACGCAUCUGCA